rnacentral:rRNA from 1 species
UACGUAGGGGGCAAGCGUUGUCCGGAAUCAUUGGGCGUAAAGCGCGUGUAGGCGGCUUGGUAAGUCCGGUGUGAAACCUUGGGGCUCAACCCCAAGCCUGCAUCGGAAACUGCCUCGCUCGAGUCCGGGAGGGGAGAGCGGAAUUCCUAGUGUAGCGGUGAAAUGCGCAGAUAUUAGGAAGAACACCGGUGGCGAAGGCGGCUCUCUGGAACGGUACUGACGCUGAGACGCGAAAGCGUGGGGAGCGAACGAGG